rnacentral:rRNA from 1 species
CUGCCUGGUAGUGGGGGAUAACGUUCGGAAACGGACGCUAAUACCGCAUACGUCCUACGGGAGAAAGCAGGGGACCUUCGGGCCUUGCGCUAUCAGAUGAGCCUAGGUCGGAUUAGCUAGUUGGUGGGGUAAUGGCUCACCAAGGCUACGAUCCGUAACUGGUCUGAGAGGAUGAUCAGUCACACUGGAACUGAGACACGGUCCAUACUCCUACGGGAGGCAGCAGUGGGGAAUAUUGGACAAUGGGCGAAAGCCUGAUCCAGCCAUGCCGCGUGUGUGAAGAAGGUCUUCGGAUUGUAAAGCACUUUAAGUUGGGAGGAAGGGUUGUAGAUUAAUACUCUGCAAUUUUGACGUUACCGACAGAAUAAGCACCGGCUAACUCUGUGCCAGCAGCCGCGGUAAUACAGAGGGUGCAAGCGUUAAUCGGAAUUACUGGGCGUAAAGCGCGCGUAGGUGGUUUGUUAAGUUGGAUGUGAAAAUCCCCGGGCUCAACCUGGGAACUGCAUUCAAAACUGACUGACUAGAGUAUGGUAGAGGGUGGUGGAAUU